AGAGAGAGAGAGAGAGAGAGAGAGAGAGAGAGAGAGAGAGAGAGAGAGAGACAGAGACAGAGACAGAGAGAUGAGUAGGGUAUAAUUAGGCGGGGCAGGCUCUCCAACACACUCACUCCGCUGCCUGACUACAGCUCUGGACAGCCAAAACUUUUUUAUCCUCAGAAAUACUAUCAUUUAAAAACAUUAAAGAGAGUAAAACUAGAGGCCAAGUCCACCCCUUUCCCCACAUCAUCUCUUUCUGCAUCUGCUUUGAGGAAUGUCUCUGUAUUACCUACAGUGUCAAAGAGCUGCAUCAACCAUUUUUCCACAUACCGUAUGGCCAUCCAUCCCCAUCCAUUUUCUGUGACGCCAUUUUUUUAUUCUAUAUGUCUGUGUACAGUCUGACAAUAUAUUUUCUACAUCCCUUCCACCUCCAAUGUCAUUACAAGUCCAAACAGAUACUGGACUACACCAUUGAAUCCUCCUCACUCAUCACUCCUCCCCAUUCCUUGUUCUUCACAUAUAUUGAUCCUCUGUUCAAUACUCCUCCUCUUCUGUGCUGUUGUUUUAUCCUCCACUCUGCUGCUCUUCUUUCUACCUUCUUCUCCCAGUAAAGAUGUCCCUGCUUUGCAUUGGUUGGAGGAUUGCUGAAACUCUAAAAGACUCUUGCUAUAUACUGGAUAUAUAUAUAAAAUCUAAAAGUUUCUAUAUGAUAUAAUCUAUGAUUAACAGAAUCUGGUUGAAUAUCGUAUUUCCGUAUUUCAAUGUUAACAUUUUGUGAUUGUGAGUGGAUUAUGAGGCUGCCCUUAACUACUGAUGCUUCUUGUUCUUGUUUCGGUCGAAAUGUGGCUAAACUGAAACUAUACCAGAAAAACUAUAAAGGAAUUUUAUUAUGAUUAUUAACUGUAUAAAUCCUCCCGUUUAUUUAUCAAUCAAUUUAUCUAUAGUUUUUUAUUUUCUUUGAUCCAAUAAAAUUGAAAUGGUACUUUUAUUUUUCUUAAACCUAAUCCGAGACUCUCAUUGCGAUUCAUUUGCUAAAACCUAGUUGGCAUAACAUCUAAGACCGUCUCCACCCAUCACCCCAUCUUCCAUAUCACUUACUCCAAAAAGUUGGAGUAAGUGAUAAUCAAGAUGUAGCGUGUGCGUGUGUGCGUGCGUGCGUGUGUGUAUACAGUAUGUACUGCAUGUGUGUGUUCAUGUGUACGAGAGCCAACGUUGUUCUGCAUGUGUGUGUGACAGUGUUUUCCCAGUGAUAUUGUGCUGUCUUCCUGGCCGCUGAUCCACUGUAAAGAGAGAUUCAGUCUGGUGAUUGGGGGCUUCCUCCACUCUUCUCUUACUGCUGCUCACUCUCAAGACUUUAAUGAGCUCCUGGGGGGAAAUUAGUGCUGGCAUAAUAAGCUAACUCUGCUGCUUAUACAAAGAUCAUGUUAUGUUCAUUUCUCCCAUUUUCUCUUUUCCUCUCUUUUCGUCCUCUUUUUCCACUCUCGCAUUCUGCUCAAGAUAAGCAUUUAAAGAGCGGCGAAGGGAAUUUUAACCUUGUGAUGUGUUUUUAUGUCUUAGUGAUUAUGUAGUCUUGUUUAUCUAUGUAUUUAUGGGUAACCUUUUGGUGUUACCUUUUUUUAAUCCGUUUAUCACUUAUUCAUUUAUGAAUUUAGCUUGUGCGUACAAGGCCUUUCUUACUGCGCGGUCAAUCCAAGGUCCACGUCCUCUAAACAUAAUUUGAUUGAGGGAGAUGAAGUUAAAUGUCAUUUUCUGCAGUGGGUCACAGCCUAGCAAGCAGGGUGGUUUGGAGAAAGCCAGGCUGGCAUGGCACCCUACCUGAUCUCACCCCUCUGCCCUCCCUCAUCCUCUCCUCUCAAUGUCAGGGAAACAGCUGACAGUGAGUGUGAAGCCCAUGUAUGGAAAUGUACACAGAUUUCUUGCUGUCCUCCACACUUUCCACAUUUCAUAUGGGCGGGCAGACAGACAGGGCCUAUGGCAGGACAGCUCAGCUCAGCCCUGAACCAAACACCCUACGAACCCCAUGACACAAACCCCAUGGUUCGUCCUUCUGCUUUUACAUGUCUCACAUGUGUACGUAUAGGCCUACUGUAUGUGCUGUGUAUUGUCAACAUUUGUCCUGUUUCAUGUUGCAAAGUGGGUGAGGAAAGAUUCUCAUCAUAGAUUUAGGGUAGAGUGAGAGUUUGCGCAUUUGAGCUGACUUGUUAAUAUCAAGGGUCUUGUUAUUCACAGAGAAACGUCUUGCUUAAUAGUGAGUGAUAUGUGUUUGGAGCUAUGAUUUGUUUUAUCCAUGGAGCGAGCUGAGAGGAGGGAAGUGGUGCAUAACCUUUGGGAAGUGGAUAUUAUUCGUACAUGACUGACUGAAUGUGUACUUUUUUUGUACUGUUUGACUGUAUGUGCCAUAUGCACUGAGUUCACUGGAGGCUAGUGGAGAAAGAUGAACUGAGAGAUGAGAGAUAGUGUUAGAAACUUAGUUAUUAAUUGAAAUAAAUAAUUCAGUGGAUGUUCUGAUUCUGUAGCAUGUAGUGUCAGUGCUGGCACUGAAGCGUCUAAAAUGCAGAAAAAGAGUAGAGAGUGGCAGCCAUAUCUAGUGGUAGUAAUCUGGGCAGUGUCUGGUGAAACUAAUCUGGUAGUCUGGGCCGUGUGUGGUGAAACUAUUCUGGUAGUCUGGGCCGUGUGUGGUGAAACUAUUCUGGUAGUCUGGGCCGUGUGUGGUGAAACUAUUCUGGUAGUCUGGGCCGUGUGUGGUGAAACUAAUCUGGUAGUGUGGGCCAUGUGUGGUGAAACUAUUCUGGUAGUCUGGGCAGUUGACUGGAGUGAUUCAUGCGAUCCAUCUCUUCCACUCUGGCAAAGUUCGAACGCAGUCCUAGAACAACGACGGCGGGAGAGCAGGGCCCCUAAAGCAACAGGGAUAGAACGGCCAUAUGGUAGCUGUCCUGGAUGCGCUCUCCAGCUAAUGAUCGAUAGACGGGUAGGAGCGAUACAUACAGUAGGUGACCAUCAAACCACACACGUACGCACAAAUGCACAGUUGCACACACCACGCACACGCACGCAGCCAUAUCUAGUGGUAGUAGUCUGGGCCGUGUGUGGUGAAACUAAUCUGGUAGUCUGGGCUGUGUGUGGUGGUAGUAGUCUGGGCCGUGUGUGGUGAAACUAAUCUGAUAGUCUGGGCCGUGUGUGGUGAAACUAAUCUGGUAGUCUGGGCAGUGUGUGGUGGUAGUAGUCUGGGCUGUGUGUGGUGAAACUAAUCUGGUAGUCAGGGCAGUGUGUGGUGAAACUAAUCUGGUAGUCUGGGCAGUGUGUGGUGGUAGUAGUCUGGGCCGUGUGUGGUGAAACUAAUCUGGUAGUCAGGGCAGUGUGUGGUGAAACUAAUCUGGUAGUCUGGGCAGUGUGUGGUGAAACUAAUCUGGUAGUCUGGGCAGUGUGUGGUGAAACUAAUCUGGUAGUCUGGGCAGUGUGUGGUGGUAGUAGUCUGGGCCAUGUGUGGUGAAACUAAUCUGGUAGUCUGGUUAGUGUGUGGUGGUGGUAGUCUGGGCCAUGUGUGGUGAAACUAAUCUGGUAGUCUGGGCAGUGUGUGGUGGUGGUAGUCUGGGCCAUGUGUGGUGAAACUAAUCUGGUAGUCUGGGCUGUGUGUGGUGAAACUAAUCUGGUAGUCAGGGCAGUGUGUGGUGAAACUAAUCUGGUAGUCUGGGCAGUGUGUGGUGAAACUAAUCUGGUAGUCUGGGCAGUGUGUGGUGGUGGUAGUCUGGGCCAUGUGUGGUGAAACUAUUCUGGUAGUCUGGGCAGUGUGUGGUGAAACUAAUCUGGUAGUCUGGGCAGUGUGUGGUGGUGGUAGUCUGGGCCAUGUGUGGUGAAACUAUUCUGGUAGUCUGGGCAGUGUGUGGUGAAACUAAUCUGGUAGUCUGGGCCAUGUGUGGUGAAACUAUUCUGGUAGUCUGGGCAGUGUGUAGUGAAACUAAUCUGGUAAUCUGGGCCAUGUGUGGUGAAACUAAUCUGGUAGUCUGGGCAGUGUGUGGUGGUAGUAGUCUGGGCUGUGUGUGGUGAAACUAAUCUGGUAGUCUGGGCAGUGUGUGGUGAAACUAAUCUGGUAGUCUGGGCAGUGUGUGGGGGUAGUAGUCUUUGCUGUGUGUAGUCUGGGACGUGUCUGGUGGUACUAGUCUGGGCCAUGUGUGGUGGUAGUAGUCUGGGCAGAGAGUGGUGCCGCCAUGCAGCCCCACUGAGGCCCUCAUUAGUAUCCGCUGGCUGGCCCAGACGUCUUAGGGUGUGACACUAACAAGAGCUGAGGGCCCAGCCACGCGGAAACACACACAGUAUAGUACAGCAGAGAGAGAGAGAGAGAGAGAUGCUCAGUGAAAGGGAGACAUUAUCUUUUUCUGUUUAACCUGCCAUGAAACAGUUGGGGCUCACAGGAAUACAGUGUGGCAGCAACGUUUGGGUGGUGUAAACAACAUUUGUAGACGUUAGGGAGAUGCUUGUGGUGGAGCUGUUGGUAAGGCAUGUAGUGGAGGUUAGCAUAUCUAGGGAAGCUGCUGUGCAGGUUCUGAAUUUUAUACUAGGCCUAUGUGUAUUUUUUCUGCUCACUCGUGUGUGUGUGUGUGUGUUACAGUAGGAGGGCAAAGGAUCAAUGAUAGAGUACCCAAGGUGCUGUCUGAGGAGAUGAGCUCAUGAUUAUUUAUCGUAAUAUAAAUGCAAAACCUUUGCGUGAGACUGGGUGAGAUAAGGUAGCCCACUGUAAUUUGUUUUGUCGCAUACACCAGGUGCGUCGGUUGGGCACAUGCCCGGUCCGUUGACUGGAGUGAUUCAUGCGAUCCAUCUCUUCCGCUCUGGCAAAGUUCGAACGCGGCCCUAGAACAACGACGGCGGGAGAGCAGGGCCCCUAAAGCAACAGGGAUAGAACGGCCAUAUGGUAGCUGUCCUGGAUGCGCUCUCCAGCUAAUGGUCGAUAGACGGGUAGGAGCGAUACAUACAGUAGGUGACCAUCAAACCACACACAUGUACGCACAAAUGCACAGUUGCACACACCACGCACACGCACGGACGCACACGACUUAAGUUUAGGACAACGUGAAUUUUAGCUUUUAUAUUUCGAUACCAGCACUUCUUAUACAGUAUAUCAAGCAAUUUAGAGUUGGAAAGACGUUUAAAAACAAGUGUAAUGUGCGUUAUUACUUUGUCUAUAAGGGAAUAAACUAUAUUCCAAUAUCGACAUAAAAAAAUGUGGAUCAUAUUCAAAGAUAUUGAUAUGAGUCCAAGUAAAACCCAGCACGGCAUCCACAUAGACGUGACCCCCAGAACGCCCUGAUCAGGCUUCCGACAGUGUACAGUAGGUUAUUUUAAACUCUACUCAUAAUUGCUGAGCGAUGAAUAGACAGCCUGACGUUCCAUGUCAUAUUGUGCCUAAUUGGCGAAAACACACUGUUGCUGUACACACAAAUAAAAACACUGUUAGUGGAAGGAAAAUGUCAGGCUCAUUUUAGUGUCGAGUCUACUUAAGUGGCCAUGUGCAUUGAAUAUGAAUCGCAUAGAGUAAUUGUAAAUUCUUUAUCGAGGAAUGUUUUUUCUAGAGAGUUGCACUUUGGUCCCAGCUCCCUGAAGAAUUAAGCUCGACGAAAUGUGGCAGUAUGUUCAGUUAGUAGGCAUAAUGAAAUAACAUUUGUAAUAAUUUUCUAAAAUAUACACACUUGCAAUAUGUAUAAAUAUUAUAUUGCUGUCUUGGUAGGCUGCGCUGAGAUACAGACCAUACAGGCCAGGGUUGUGCGAAUGUUUUCCGAUUUAAACAAUUGUUUUCUUGAUUCAUGUUUGAUUCGUGGUGUGAAAUAGAUUAUCACAUGAAUGGUUUGCACCUCAUCCUAUUCAUUUGAUAAAGACAUUGUGGAAUAUAAUCGAGAGGCUGUGAACAAAGAAAUUGGCUACUUGAAAAAUGGAUAGCCUAAAAUAUGAUGCACUGCUAACUAUAUAAUUGCGCUAUUCAUUUAGCAGAUAAACGUGAUUUUCUUUUAACCUUCAUUAAAAUCCACAACCGAUUAAAUUGAUCAGAGGGAAUAUGACAAGCAGUUGUUCAAAAUACAUUUCAGUCUUCCCCAGAACUUCGUCCCCCAAAUUGCUCAGUGAGCACAUCUAUAGACUUUCCCUCUCUUACAAUCCCUGUACGCUGAGGGGAGGCGCAGUCACUCUCCCGGCUCUAUCAUAGCCAAUUUUACACCAAAUUAGUCUUCAAACAAGCUCAAUAAAGACAGACUCUAGUUGGCACCCCGUGCGAGUGUAAACAUGAUUAUUUCUAGGAAGUGGCUUCAAAUUUGGAGUACAGUGACAAGCAAUUAGAAGCCAAGUUAACGGUGGUAAUUCUUCAAAUGCUGUGGUGAAAAGAGAGAAGGAGAGCAAGCGCUGCAAUUAAAAGGGAACGUGGCGAGACCCCACAGAUUUAAUCUUAAUUGCCAUAUGAGGGACCCUAUUAAGGAUGUUUACUUUUACUGUGAUGCUCGGGCAAGAGGGGAGUUAUUAUAGCGGUUCUGAAAUUAAAUUAACCGCCCGCUGGAUUUGAUAUGCCUACUGCUGUAGGGAUUGUGAGUCGACAGCUGAUGGUAGCGGAUUUGACACCACUCUUGUCCGAGGUUAUUUGAGAGCGUAUCCGGUGGAGACAAUUACGCACGCUUUCUGCAACCCAGAAAAUAUUGUUUUGAACGUGACCAUGAUUGUUCAGUUUUCUGGGUUUACUUUUAAGUCAGUAAGCUAUAGUUGCAUUUAUGUAGAUGGUUGUUUUUCUGGCUUUUACUCAGGCUGAUUGGUAGAUUAAAUGCUUAUUAAGCAUCGAUCUGUUGACGUAACCACGGAAACUACGCGCAACAAACAGCGAGUUAUUAAUCGCCUGUCACGUCCCACAUGGGUAAGCACUCUUAAUUCGCAUAAUCAACUAAAUCAAAAUUAGAUUCUGUUCGAAAUGUAUUCGUUUCACUGGCUUUUUAAUUUACCCGGUUCUCUGUGGAGCAUAAGGGCUCAUACAUAGAAGAUCGAACCGCCAGCCCCCUAUCAUCACCAUCACGACCGCCAGAGCUACAGAACAAAUGGAAGACUCUCCUGAGAUCAAAUAAAAGGAGGAAACAUUGGGAGGAAUAGACAUUGGGAGGAAUUCCCAUCACUUCACGACUCUCUUGGCAGUGUGUCACCUCGGUCGCAAUGGGCCAUGUCGGACAUGCCGUGGCCUUUACUGCUCAGAAAGACAACAUUUCGUUUUCACUACUUCUGCACCUGUUCAUGUCGCCUACCAGAUUUAUACUAACAUUUUAGGCCUAAGUGUAGUCUAGUUCCUCUAUGUUAAUUGGAAACCAAACAGGAUCACAAUAAACGCGUUGCAUAACACGCAUCAACAAAGGAAGACAAACUCAAGCAGUUAUUGCUUUCUGGUGAGCCUCUGCACUAGAAUUUAAUGUGCCCCCGGCGCGCCUUUCCUCGGGGAAAUAAAGCGGCAAACCACAGGGAUUAAAAUGGUUUACAAAAUGUUCAAACAUAACACUGUCAGCUGCUAGAAAAUCUGGGGAAUCGAUGUUGCUGUGGACUGUCUCUCCUGAUAAGUUUCGUACACGCUGCGUUUAUGAAUAGAUGGUGUUAAAAUUUGUGCACCAGAACCUUAUUUUAGCUCUCCAACAGAUAGUUUUACAGAUGCUACUGAUAUGUGACAAACUCACCACAUAAACACUCCUUCUAACCGUUGAGUCAAUAUCAGGAAGUGACACAUUGUGCUAGUUUUCUCACAUUACCUUCUAGACUCAAACUCUGACUUUAUAUUAUCACAGCCAUUGCCAAAGAAAAGUGUGAUUUACAGAUGCAACCAAACCAUCUACUGUUCUUUCUUCGUGUGUAGGUCUCUUCUCUCAUUUAAAUGUUGUCAUAAUUUUUUUGACGUCUGCUGUCCACUGUCCUGUGGUGCUGAGUGUCCGAUCUCGCAGUCCUGACUGCGCCACUGUCCAUGGUGCUAAAAUCUCAGCUCGUCGCUAUACAUUGGACCUUAAACGUCCUUCUGUGUGCGUGCAUGCGUGUAUAAAUACGUGAAAGAGAGUGAGAGCGAGUGUGUACUGGCUGAGUGGUUCAGUAAUUUGGAGCAAUGGGGCUAUUUUGAAUGGAGCUGUACACAUAGACUAUUAGGAUAUUACAUUUAUGGUCCUGCAAUUCCUCCUAGAGCUCUUUAGGAGCUGUAAAACUGUCUCUGCGCCUAAACCUGUCAUUGCUAAAAAAAAAAAAAAAAAAAAAAGGCCUGCAAAUCUAU